ACUUUGAACCGAUCUGUGUAGGAUAGGUGGGAGGCUUUGAAGCGGGGACGCCAGUUCUCGUGGAGCCAUCCUUGAAAUACCACCCUGGUAAUGUUGGGGUUCUAACUCAAGCUUAACAGAGCUGAGGACAAUGUAUGGUGGGUAGUUUGACUGGGGCGGUCUCCUCCUAAAGAGUAACGGAGGAGUACGAAGGUGCGCUCAGAACGGUCGGAAAUCGUUCGAAGAGUAUAAAGGCAAAAGCGCGCUUAACUGCGAGACCCACAAGUCGAGCAGAUACGAAAGUAGGUCUUAGUGAUCCGGUGGUUCUGUAUGGAAGGGCCAUCGCUCAACGGAUAAAAGGUACUCUGGGGAUAACAGGCUGAUACCGCCCAAGAGUUCAUAUCGACGGCGGUGUUUGGCACCUCGAUGUCGGCUC
rnacentral:rRNA from 1 species